GAUUUCCUUUGAGUCGAUUGUUUCAGGGGCUAAUUUCACCUGUGGAUUGAUGACCUUGAAUUUUUCGAUAAUGUGUGGGGGACCUGGGUGGCCUAAUGUGGAUAACUCUGGGAUUCAGAUUCUUCCAUUCACAGACAAAAUUCUUCCAGGGCCUUGUGUGCAAUCUUCUUGUGAAGGUAAAUCGUAUCCGGAUUCUGCUAGCUUGUGUUCUGGUUCAGGGAAUAUUUGCUACCCUCCUGAGUUAAAUGUUGUUUCACCACCACCACCACCACCA
rnacentral:misc_RNA from 1 species